UUUUCACACAUAGCCGUUUCUCUUCUUUUCCUUCAAUCCUCCUAUUUUCCUUCAAUCACGCGGCUUCUCAAACACACUCUCAUACUAUGUCCUCUCUCUUCAAACAAUUCUUAGAUCCCUAAUUUCAAUUUCAUACAUCUCUGCAUGUCCAUCACUGUAUCUCUCAUAAACCCUAAAUCAAGGGUUUCUCUAUGACCCUGACGGCUGCGGUUGUAGGUUCCGCCGGUGAUGUCCUGACGAUUUUAAUGGUUCAUCAUGUAGUAAGUGGUUCGAUUUUGAUGGAAAUCAAUGAUUGGGAAUCCAAUUACGAGGCCUGCGCAAUCACACAAUGCUGAUGGUGCAAUGGAAUACGGGCUUGAAAGUGCAGAUCUUCUUAAAAUCAGGAAAGAUGCUGGAGUGAAGGACCCUUUCUGGAUUCCACGACCUGGUUGGAAGCCCGGGGAUUCUCCUGUCCAGGAUCCCAUUCUGGCAAAAGAAAUCAGGAAUCUCCAAGAAUUUGAAGGUCUAAUCGAUGGUUUAAUUCUUUGGUCCCUUCACAAGGAUUAUGAGGAGGGAUUAGGAAAACUAAAAAGGGAGGUCCAGGAGUUGAGUUCAAAGAAAGAUGAAAGUCAAGCUAUUGUGGUUUCUGAACAAGUUGACCCGGUUGCAAAGAGAUUAGAGGCUACUUCAAGGUAUUUCAAGAGAUUGGGUAGCUUAGGAUUUUGGGGACAACUUCUUUGUAUAAUUGUAGCUGCAGUCAUCCUUUCCUUUCUGUUGCCAUCACUGGGGGGGGGGGAAUCACAUCACCGGCUACCUUCUAUGCUACGACUGGUGGUAUUGUAGCUUCUUUCCUCUCGGUGUUCUGGUCGUUUGGUUAUAUUCGUCUUUCUGACAGGCUUAAUAAAACCGCCAAUGACCCUUCAAAGAUUGAAGCCAACUAUGAGUUACUUCAGUUUUAGGAUUAAAACAGAAAAUAAAUUGGAAGAACUGAAAAUGUGCUUAGGAGUGGUCGGAGACGAAGAGAUGAUGAUAGUGAUGGUUUCCGGUGACCGAACGGCCGGAAUGAAAGCGGUGGUGAUGGUCGAUAGUGGUGGUUGCGGUUCAAGUUGGUGACGGUGAUGGUCGAUAAUGGUUUUUUUUUUAAUUAAUAUCUUGUGGAUUGUUUACAAAAACUGGAAGGAGGUUUGUUAAGGUUUUUAUUGAUGUGGGAUGUCUAAAAAAGCCACAAAAUUGGGUUACCUUGGGUUUAAAUAUUUCCUUGGGUUUAAAUAAAAGGGUUUUAAUAAACAUAAUCCUUGUGGCUAUGGUUAACAAUCGAAAUUUUAUAACCUUUUUUGGUGGCCGGUUGUUCAAGGUAAAAAAGAUAACAUUAUGUGAGUAUUCAUAAAUAAACACUUUUGAGAUAUUUUUGGUCGUUCUUUCUUUAUGAUGAAAUAUUAUGUGUUUUUAUUAAAGUAAUUGGUGGUUGUUUGCGCGUCCGGAACCUUCAAGGAGUUGAAAUCAAUUUGGUUAAGGACUGAGAAAUCUUUUGGUUGUGAUAGGUAUAUGAUUACACCAUAAUGGUCGUAAGUUAUUUUGGGAUUUAAGAUGGAAGAGACUUCUUGAUUCGGAUGAUGAAAAGGCUGAAGCAUAUCAACUUAUGGGUUUAUUGAAGCAACAAGCCAUCAAUGACAAAAGAUAACUGGAAAUGGAAGUUGGGUGGGGCGUCGUUGAGUUCUCUGUUAAUCAGGUGAGAAAAGACAUAGCAACAGACAUUCUGCCAGCAUAUCAAUCAAGACCAGCUUUUCAAAUGAAGCUCUUUAGCCAUUCCGAAGGUUAAUUGUUUUGUUUGGAGGGUUGUGAGCAGCAAGAUUUCUAUGGCGGAAGCCUUAGCUAGGAGGAGCAUUUCGAUUGGGGUAGGGAGGUGCCCGAUGGAUUCAUGUGGAGUCAACAAACCAUAUAACUAUUAUAUACAAGGGUCAGUUGAAAUUGAACCAGUUGGAGUACUUUCAUGCAACGAAAGAACCACAACCUUACUGUUCAAAACUGUUGAAGUUCUAUUAUUUCUUGCAGCGGCCUGCUCCAGGGAUUAGUGGUGGCUUUUAUGUUGUUUAAUGUCACAUGUGAUUUUUUGUUGAUUGCUGGUACCACUUAGAAAUCACUAUAAUGAAUUUAAUUUUACAAUAUAAUUAUAUUUACUAACUUAACAUAAAUUUAAUUUUACAAUGUAGUUAUGUUUACUAACUUAACUUUAAAAUUGUUCCUGCAUAAAGGGCAUCACAGUUGACCCUUAGCUUGUGAUGGAGGUUCAAUCCUUUUUCUUUCUCUUUAUUAAUAUUUUCAUAUGUAACUACUUUUUUUAUAAAAGAAGAUGAGGUUUCUUUCUUUGAACCCUAUUGUAAUUAAUGUAAUAUUAACCUUUGUUUAAUAGGCUUAUGGAUGUUUCUUCCAGUCAGCAUUAACUUGGAAACAUUGGUUGUAUGGAACAGUCAAAUUGAGUGUGUUCAAUUUACGGCAUUAGGAGCAUUCGACGAUUAUUUACGAGAGUUCUGAGCCGUAUACGCCGUUGGUUCGGCUUGGUGGAAUAAGCAGAAUCCGAGGUAUAUGACGACGAUUAUAAUGGAUAGUGCGAAGGUGGUUGUGUUGGAUAUUCACCAAAGUACUUGAAACGAACUCUUCACCUCAACAGUUAAAACAAUAGCUCCUUUCUUUUUCGUUUGAUACAUUACGUACCCGCGGGUAGAGAAUGAUUUCCUUACUUGAACAUUUAAUUACUUUCAAAUGAUUAUUUCAACAAGUUUAAGUUAUA